rnacentral:rRNA from 1 species
GACGAACGCUGGCGGCGUGCUUAACACAUGCAAGUCGAACGGAAAGGCCCCCAUCUUGGUGGGGGUGCUCGAGUGGCGAACGGGUGAGUAACACGUGGGUGAUCUGCCCUGUACUUCGGGAUAAGCUUGGGAAACUGGGUCUAAUACCGGAUAGGACCAUGGUUUAGUGUCUCAUGGUGGAAAGAUUAUUGUUUUGGUGCAGGAUGAGCUCGCGGCCUAUCAGCUUGUUGGUGGGGUAAUGGCCUACCAAGGCGUCGACGGGUAGCCGGCCUGAGAGGGUGGACGGCCACAUUGGGACUGAGAUACGGGCCAGACUCCUACGGGAGGCAGCAGUGGGGAAUAUUGCACAAUGGGCGCAAGCCUGAUGCAGCGACGCCGCGUGGGGGAUGACGGCCUUCGGGUUGUAAACUCCUUUCGUUAGGGACGAAGCCGCACUUUUUUUGGGUGUGGUGACGGUACCUUUGUGAAGAAGCACCGGCUAACUACGUG